rnacentral:rRNA from 1 species
GGGAAGAACAAACGUGUAAGUAACUGUGCACGUCUUGACGGUACCUAAUCAGAAAGCCACGGCUAACUACGUGCCAGCAGCCGCGGUAAUACGUAGGUGGCAAGCGUUAUCCGGAAUUAUUGGGCGUAAAGCGCGCGUAGGCGGUUUUUUAAGUCUGAUGUGAAAGCCCACGGCUCAACCGUGGAGGGUCAUUGGAAACUGGGGAACUUGAGUGCAGAAGAGGAAAGUGGAAUUCCAAGUGUAGCGGUGAAAUGCGUAGAGAUUUGGAGGAACACCAGUGGCGAAGGCGACUUUCUGGUCUGUAACUGACACUGAGGCGCGAAAGCGUGGGGAGCGAACAGGAUUAGAUACCCUGGUAGUCCACGCCGUAAACGAUGAGUGCUAAGUGUUAGAGGGUUUCCGCCCUUUAGUGCUGCAGCAAACGCAUUAAGCACUCCGCCUGGGGAGUACGACCGCAAGGUUGAAACUCAAAGGAAUUGACGGGGGCCCGCACAAGCGGUGGAGCAUGUGGUUUAAUUCGAAGCAACGCGAAGAACCUUACCAAAUCUUGACAUCCUUUGACCGCUCUAGAGAUAGAGUUUUCCCCUUCGGGGGACGAAGUGACAGGUGGUGCAUGGUUGUCGUCAGCUCGUGUCGUGAGAUGUUGGGUUAAGUCCCGCAGCGAGCGCAACCCUUAAGCUUAGUUGCCAUCAUUAAGUUGGGCACUCUAAGUUGACUGCCGGUGACAAACCGGAGGAAGGUGGGGAUGACGUCAAAUCAUCAUGCCCCUUAUGAUUUGGGCUACACACGUGCUACAAUGGACAAUACAAAGGGCAGCUAAACCGCGAGGUCAAGCAAAUCCCAUAAA